UACGUAGGUGGCAAGCGUUGUCCGGAUUUACUGGGUGUAAAGGGCGCGUAGGCGGGCUCGUAAGUCAGACGUGAAAUACCGGGGCUCAACCCCGGGGCUGCGUUUGAAACUGGGGAUCUUGAGUGGGCGAGAAGUAUGCGGAAUGCGUGGUGUAGCGGUGAAAUGCAUAGAUAUCACGCAGAACUCCGAUUGCGAAGGCAGCAUACCGGCGCCCGACUGACGCUGAGGCACGAAAGCGUGGGGAUCGAACAGG
rnacentral:rRNA from 1 species